rnacentral:rRNA from 1 species
AUUGAACGCUGGCGGCAUGCCUUACACAUGCAAGUCGAACAGCAGCAUGGAGAGCUUGCUCUCUGAUGGCGAGUGGCGAACGGGUGAGUAAUGCAUCGGAACGUACCGUGUAAUGGGGGAUAACGUAGCGAAAGUUACGCUAAUACCGCAUAAUCCCUAAGGGGGAAAGCGGGGGACCGUAAGGCCUCGCGCAAUUAGAGCGGCCGAUACCUGAUUAGCUAGUUGGUGAGGUAAAGGCUCACCAAGGCAACGAUCAGUAGCUGGUCUGAGAGGACGAGCAGCCACACUGGGACUGAGACACGGCCCAGACUCCUACGUGAGGCAGCAGUGGGGAAUUUUGGACAAUGGGGGCAACCCUGAUCCAGCAAUGCCACGUGAGUGAAGAAGGCCUUCGGGUUGUAAAGCUCUUUUGUCAGGGAAGAAACAGCAGCUCUAACACAGUAUGCGAAUGACGGUACCUGAAGAAUAAGCACCGGCUAACUACGUGCCAGCCGCCGCGGUAA